CUGUUUCCGCUGUUCAAGAUGUGGACCCUUAUACAUCGGCGAUACCAAACGCAGACUGGGCGAUCAUUUCGCUGACAACCUUCGCACAGUCCGCCUGAAACUAUCUGAUCUCCCGGUUGCUGGACACUUUAAUUCUCCUUCCCAUUCCCACGCAGACCUUCCUGUCCCAGGUCUCCUCCAUUGUCAGAUCGAGACUAAACUCAAAUUGGAGGACCAGCAACUCAUAUUUCGCUUGGGCAGAUUACAGACCAAAGGUAUGAAUAUUGAGUUCUCUAACUUCAAGUAACCCCGACAUUCCCUCUCUCUCCAUCCCUCCCCCACCCAAGUCACAGCAGCUUCUCAUUUACACCCAACAAAGCUAACAACGGCCUAUUUCCUUUAUAACCAUAUAACAAUUACAGCACGGAAACAGGCCAUCUCGGCCCUACAAGUCCGUGCCGAACAACUUUUUUCCCUUAGUCCCACCUGCCUGCACUCAUACCAUAACCUUCCAUUCCCUUCUCAUCCAUAUGCCUAUCCAAUUUAUUUUUAAAUGAUACCAACGAACCUGCCGACACCACUUCCACUGGAAGCUCAUUCCACACCGCUACCACUCUGUGAGUAAAGAAGUUCCCCCUCAUGUUACCCCUAAACUUCUGUCCCUUAAUUCUGAAGUCAUGUCCUCUUGUUUGAAUCUUCCCUAUUCUCAAAGGGAAAAGCUUGUCCACAUCAACUCUGUCUAUCCCUCUCAUCAUUUUAAAGACCUCUAUCAAGUCCCCCCUUAACCUUCUGCGCUCCAGAGAACAAAGACCUAACUUAUUCAACCUAUCUCUGUAACUUAGUUGUUGAAACCCAGGCAACAUUCUAGUAAAUCUCCUCUGUACUCUCUCUAUUUUGUUGACAUCCUUCCUAUAAUUGGGCGACCAAAAUUGUACACCAUACUCCAGAUUUGGUCUUACCAAUGCCUUGUACAAUUUUAACAUUACAUCCCAGCUUCUAUACUCAAUGCUCUGAUUUAUAAAGGCUAGCAUACCAAAAGCUUUCUUUGCCACCCUAUCUAUAUGAGAUUCCACCUUCAAGGAACUAUGCACGGUUAUACCCAGAUCCCUCUGUUCAACUGUAUUCUUCAAUUCCCUAACAAUUAUCAUCGUUACUUUUUAGCAUAUCUAUCGUUCAUUGUUGUUUAUCUCUCUACAUCAUCGUCUAUAUCUCUCGUUUCCCUUAUCCCUAACCAGUCUGAAGAAGGGUCUCGACCCAAAAUGUCACCCAUUCCUUCUCUCCACAGAUGAUGGCUGACCCCCCUGAGUUACUCCAGCUUUUUGUGUCUAUCUGCGGUUUAAACCAGCAUCUGCAGUUCCUUCAUAUACGCUUGUAAAUUUAGUUCCCAGAUUGUCUGGAACACAAGGAUAUUUGAUCCAAAGUCCAGUGUUUCUUAUCACAGGCUUUAAGAUUACACAAUUUCCUGUUGUUCACAUCAAGAAUUUCCAACUGUAUUUCUAACUGAAGAGCAAAGAAUGAGACAUCCCACAGCAGCACAACAGUGAACAUUUAUACAGAGAAGAAUUUGCGCAGUUAAAGCAGAAUGAAUAGCAAAGUUACUUUCACCAUCCUUGCCCUCCUUGUACGUUAUUCACCUUCUGCACAAGGGCUGCUGCUGAUUUGCUUCCAGUUUUGUACACAAGUAGCGAUCCUGCAUCUUCAGCACGACUUGUGUUCUGGUAGAACAGGCAACACCGUAGACUUGCAAGUAAUGUAUUUCCAGACAUUUACAGGGUAAUAGAUUGUGACUGCAGUACUUGAUUUGAUAUCAGCAUGGCCCAACCCUAUUACCACAUCUUCAUCACAAAUGGAACAACCCAGCCACUGGCUCCUUCUUUGAAGGAAUUCUCACUGCUUGCAGCUUUUGGUUGAUUGAAUAAAAGGCCCACUGAGUCCAUGUUGAUCAUCACUCACAUGUUUACACUAGUUCAAUGUCGACCCACUUUCACAUCCACUCCCUACAGACUCGGGGCAAUUUACAGAUGCCCGUUAAGCUACAAACCCCACCGGUCUUUGGGAUGGGGGAGGAAACCAGAUCACCCGGAGAAAAGGCUGGUGCUCACAGGGAGAAUGGCACACGGACAACACCCAAGGUCAGGAUCGAACCCAGGUCUCUGGCGCAGUGAGGCAGCAGCACCACCAGCUGCACCACUGUGCCAUCCUAUACUGGUACCCGAUCGGAAGGAGACUUGAUUAUACAUAUCUGCUUGAUUUUCAAUGCUGCAGAUCAUCUGGUUUCACAGGGUGUGAGAGAAUGGUUUAGCUGGCAGUAGAAUUUUACUGAAGAUACAACUACAGAGACAUUUAUAAACUAUUCAAAUUAAUGCCAGCUUUCACAUUGACAACGUUCCAAACAAAAGGCAAGACAAAAUGUUUUGAGGGAAGGUGUCCAUAACUCACAGCCUGAGCCCAGUCCCUGUUUGAACCUGAGGGAACAGAGGACCAGCAGAGGUCCAGCAGAGGUCCAGCCCUCUGAAUGUGAUCCUGGUACAUGGUCCUCAGAUGGUGAAUUAGUCAGCGCUGGUCUGUGAACUUAUACAGGAGCAGUAUUGAAGCAGAUUCUGCACUUUAAUUGGCUUGGUAUACUUGUAAAUUGUCCCUAGUGUGUGCAGGGUAGUGUUAGUGUGCAGGGGUCGCUGGUAGGCACGGACCUGGUGGGCUGAAGGGCCUGUAUCCAUGCUGUAUCUCUAAAC